rnacentral:rRNA from 1 species
UACGGAGGAGGCAAGCGUUAUCCGGAAUUAUUGGGCGUAAAGCGUCCGCAGGUGGCACUUCAAGUCUGUCGUCAAAGACUGGGGCUUAACCCUGGAAAGGCGGUGGAAACUGAAGCGCUAGAGUGCGGUAGGGGUAGAGGGAAUUCCCGGUGUAGCGGUGAAAUGCGUAGAUAUCAGGAGGAACACCGGUGGUGUAAACGGCUCUCUGGACCGUAACUGACGCUGAGACACGAAAGCGUGGGUAGCAAACAGG